GCAAUAAUGAAACGCCUACGACAUCCAAACAUAGUUCUUUUCAUGGGUGCGGUUACUCAGCCCCCAAAGUUAUCCAUAGUAACAGAAUAUUUAUCAAGAGGUAGCUUGUAUAGGCUCUUGCAUAAGUCUGGUGCAAGAGAGCUAUUGGAUGAAAGGCGCCGGUUGAGUAUGGCCUAUGAUGUGGCAAAGGGUAUGAAUUAUCUCCACAAACGCAAUCCUCCCAUAGUUCAUAGAGAUUUAAAAUCUCCAAAUCUAUUGGUUGACAAAAAAUAUACAGUGAAGGUUUGUGAUUUUGGGCUUUCUCGUCUGAAAGCAAACACAUUUCUUUCAUCAAAGUCAGCAGCGGGGACUCCUGAGUGGAUGGCACCAGAAGUUCUGCGUGAUGAACCAUCAAAUGAAAAGUCAGACAUAUACAGUUUUGGUGUCAUCUUAUGGGAACUUGCAACACUGCAACAACCCUGGAGCAAUUUAAAUCCUGCACAGGUUGU
rnacentral:misc_RNA from 1 species